rnacentral:rRNA from 1 species
GCUAAACGCGAAGAACCUUACCAAGGCUUGACAUAUACGAGAACGGGCCAGAAAUGGUCAACUCUUUGGACACUCGUAAACAGGUGGUGCAUGGUUGUCGUCAGCUCGUGUCGUGAGAUGUUGGGUUAAGUCCCGCAACGAGCGCAACCCUCGUUCUAUGUUGCCAGCACGUAAUGGUGGGAACUCAUGGGAUACUGCCGGGGUCAACUCGGAGGAAGGUGGGGAUGACGUCAAAUCAUCAUGCCCCUUAUGUCUUGGGCUUCACGCAUGCUACAAUGGCCGGUACAAAGGGCUGCAAUACCGCGAGGUGGAACGAAUCCCAAAAAGCCGGUCCCAGUUCGGAUUGAGGUCUGCAACUCGACCUCAUGAAGUCGGAGUCGCUAGUAAUCGCAGAUCAGCAACGCUGCGGUGAAUACGUUCCCGGGUCUUGUACACACCG